UUCACAGUGGCUAAGCUAU
rnacentral:miRNA from 1 species